UAUAUACUCCCUCCGUCCGGAUAUACUUGUCCUAGAAAUAGAUGUAUCUAGACUUAUUUUAGUUAUAUAUACAUUCAUUUUGUACAUUUCUAGGACAAGUAUUUUCGGACGGAGGAAGUAUAUA
rnacentral:pre_miRNA from 1 species